rnacentral:rRNA from 1 species
AACGAUCCUAGCUUGCUAGGAGGCGUCGAGCGGCGGACGGGUGAGUAAUGCAUAGGAAUCUGCCCGGUAGUGGGGGAUAACUUGAGGAAACUCAAGCUAAUACCGCAUACGCCCUACGGGGGAAAGCAGGGGMUCUUCGGACCUUGCGCUAUCGGAUGAGCUUAUGUCGGAUUAGCUGGUUGGUGAGGUAACGGCUCACCAAGGCGACGAUCCGUAGCUGGUCUGAGAGGAUGAUCAGCCACAUCGGGACUGAGACACGGCCCGAACUCCUACGGGAGGCAGCAGUGGGGAAUAUUGGACAAUGGGGGCAACCCUGAUCCAGCCAUGCCGCGUGUGUGAAGAAGGCCCUCGGGUUGUAAAGCACUUUCAGCGAGGAAGAAUGCUUGUCGGUUAAUACCCGGCAAGGGAGACAUCACUCGCAGAAGAAGCACCGGCUAACUCCGUGCCAGCAGCCGCGGUAAUACGGAGGGUGCGAGCGUUAAUCGGAAUUACUGGGCGUAAAGCGUGCGUAGGCGGCUUGAUAAGCCGGUUGUGAAAGCCCCGGGCUCAACCUGGGAACGGCAUCCGGAACUGUUAGGCUAGAGUGCAGGAGAGGAAGGUAGAAUUCCCGGUGUAGCGGUGAAAUGCGUAGAGAUCGGGAGGAAUACCAGUGGCGAAGGCGGCCUUCUGGACUGACACUGACGCUGAGGUACGAAAGCGUGGGUAGCAAACAGGAUUAGAUACCCUGGUAGUCCACGCCGUAAACGAUGUCGACUAGCCGUUGGGGUCCUCGAGACCUUUGUGG